rnacentral:ncRNA from 1 species
GCGUCCUGCCUCGUGAUCGUCUUCUCACCCUUCACGGCGGCGGGCGGAAAGAAGGAGGCCCCCGCGAGGACAUGACUCGCGGGGGUCUUCC